rnacentral:lncRNA from 1 species
UGCACCACAGUGGGAACUCCCUUAUUUAUCUGUUUUCAGUUGUUCUUUUUUUUUGUUUUGUUUUUUGUUUUUUGUUUUUUGUUUUUUGUCUUUUUGCUAUUUCUUUGGGCUGCUCCCGCGGCAUAUGGAGGUUCCCAGGCUAGGGGUCCAAUCGGAGCUGUAGCCACUGGCCUACGCCAGAGCCACAGCAACGCGGGAUCCGAGCUGCGUCUGCAACCUACACCACAGCUCACGGCAACGCUGGAUCCUUAACCCACUGAGCAAGGGUAGGGACCGAACCCGCAACCUCAUGGUUCCUAGUCGGAUUCAUUAACCACUGCGCCACGACGGGAACUCCCCUGUUUUCAGUUAUUCUUUUAAAUUCUGUUUUAUUUCAUUGUGAUUAUCUUUAGGCUUUCAUUUCUUAUUCUGACAUUUAUUUUAUUAUCUCAUUCAAGUUUCAAAUUUUUAUUGUUUCAGUUUCCUUACGGCAGAAUCCUUUAAUUCUCCUUCCUUCAUGGAGUCCCUGUGUCAUUUGUUAUUUUUAAUUCAAAUUAUUCCUCAGUGCUUUUAGUUUGUUUUUAUACAAGUCUUCCAUGAUUUGCGUAAGGUCUGGGAUUUGAUUUGACCCUACUAAAUCUCUUAAGUUAGUUUUAUGCUAGUAAGUCAUAGCUAGCUUCAUAUUUGAAAAUCAGUCAAUGCAAUCUACUAUGGUAACUAUCCAAAGAAGAAAAACAGGAUGAUCAUAUCAAUUGAUGCAGAAUAGCCAUUUGAGAAUAAUCAAUACUUAGUCACUUAAAAACCUAGGAAUAUGAAGUAGUAUCCUCAGUCUGAUAAAGAACAUCAACAAAAGACCCUACAGGUAACACCGUACUUAAUGACUGAAUGUUCUCCCUGUGAGACCAGGAACAAGGAAAUGUCUGUUCUCAGUACUCCUUGAGGGAACUCCACAGUGAGGCUAUGAAUUCACCUGCUAUGUAAUUCAGUAAACAGUUGAAUUUUGUGUUUAAUUUACAGUAAUAUCAGUUUUUUGGUCCUAAUAGGUAGGAGAUUUUUUUUAAAGGAUGACAUGGAAGCCAUGUGGUUCUCAGACUAUCUGAGCUGAGAAUUAAAAAGGCUGAUCUUGUUCUUUGUAUAUAUAAACACUUAACUAUAAUCAAAAUGAUUCAUCCCAUACCACAGUCGUCAUCACUGCUGUAAUGGUCAAGGGUACCAGUCACUUGGGCUCCCAAAGCACAUGUUCCAUUUGGCACUUCAUCACAACUAAUAGUAGCAAUUAGUGUGGAUUAAUUAAAUUUUAAAUCACUAUAUGCCAUGGAUUACUAGCAUCUCAUCUUCCAUUAGACAGAAGCUCAACACUGUGCCAAGCCCAACAGCAUGAGCAGACUAACUCCCAAAUCCCAUCUUUAUGGUUCAUCUUCUGAAACUCCUCUUGCUAUCAAGUUGGGUCCAAUCAGGAGGCAGAAACUAGACAGUGAUUUAAACAGGAGGCAUAUAAGGAAUUAUUACCCUGUUAUAGAAAAACAACUCUAAAAAUGGAAGGUGAACUCUAAGGGUACCUCAGGGCUUAAGGAGAGGACAAACUUGGAAGUGGGAUUUGGACCUUGUUGAAUAAGAUGUGGUUAUAGACCAUCAAUGGAGAGAAGUUUACUCCAUGACCCACACUAGAGCUGGUCCAUUGUCACUGAAAAAGCAGGAAUAACAGUCUGGACACAUGAGCAGAAGCUUGUAGGCAAGCAUUCAGAGGGAGUUGGGGCACUGCUGUCGACACUUUUGAAUCUUGGAUUUACAUUGACCUUGGUCUGCAGAAGCCAAGCAUACAUAUGUGUAUGGCUCAGGCCAGGGUGGCCCUGGGCCACUUGUGGGGUAAAGAUCAGGUGGUUAGCCUAUGAGGUAGCCAGCUUGGUGUGGCUUAUCUAGCUGAGAAGCGAGUGCCAGGGAGCAGUGACCUGGACUGGGACAGUCCUUUGCUCUUUGGGGCUCCCUGAUGUUCUGCUAUUGCCUGAAUCAAGAGCUGGAGAAAAAGUGCUGUUGUCAGCCACACUCCAAGGCACUGAGCACUGGAGAAAACACAUAGUAAGGAAAAGUAUCAUACUCCUGUGAGCCUGGCGAAUGAACAUAUAGGAAUUAUGAGGAAAACUUCUUUCCUCUGUAGUAUCUCUUGGAGGACACUACUGCCAAAACUUAUAUCAGGCCAGCUGGCAAGGGAAACAUGAAAAAUGCCUAGCUUUCUUGUCUCAGAUUAGGCAAUUAAGUAAAAAUAUAGAGUGGAGAAUCAUCAAAUUGAUAACUGUCUUUUACAUCUUUUUUACCAUUUCUCAUACACAUACGUCUCUUUCACCAUUUCUCAUACUCAUACACACGUACAUCUCAUAUGUAUUUAUUUAAGUGUAUGUAGUGCCUAAAUGAAAAAUUAAAAUGUAUCAUUUUCAAUAAAAUAUGCUCAGCCAUAACUAUAUUAAAGACAUAAUGGGUCACUGCUGUGGCUCAGGUUCCAUCCCUUGCCCAGGAAUUUCUGCUAGCUGCAAGGGCAGUCAAAAAAAUAAAUAAAUAAAGCUUUUACUCUUUAUUAUUUCACAUUUAUUGUGGGACAGGUAUGCAGACAUGGCUUAGCUGGGUGCUUUUUGGUUAAGCUUUCCCAUGAUGUAGCAGUCAAGUUGUGGACUGGCACUGCAGUCUCAUCCGAAGACUUUCCUGCCACGCCAACAUUAUCUUAUCAUUUGUUCAUCAAUUGGUAUCUAUCAGCUUUCUGUUGUGUUGUGUGGGAGGAAUUGAAUGGUAAGUAUGGCCUGAUUCUUGCCCCUUGAGCUCACAGUUGAUGGGGAAAGUAGGCUGUAUGAACAGAUGAUUAUCCUAAAAUGAGAGAGCUUCUACAGUAUUAGGUGAGAGGAAGAUGUUUUCAGUGCAAAGACCAUUCAGAGACAAUUAUUUGUUCACUCACUCCUCCCUCUCCACCUCCCCCAAUGAUGACCCAUUUGUCCCUUUGCUUUCCUCUGGUAAAUUCAUGGUGAGAUGUUUGGAGGUAACAGAAUCUACAUGUUAUGGAAAGCGGGGACUUCCUUUCCAUUUCAUCACCAACUGCCCCCUAAAAUAUCACCUGUCGAUGGGUUUGUAUGUGAAAUGAAAAAGAAAAACCCAUUUAUUUCAGAAACUGCUUUGGAAAUUUCUGGUGGAAAUGAUUUAAAUAUUACAGGAUUUUCAUCAAAAGAAAUAGGCAAUCCACAAUAUUGUUCAAAGCAAGACUACACUAUCACUAAUUCUUUAUGACUACAUUCAGAGGGCAAUAAGUUGCUUUCAUUUUACAAAGGGUAGACUUUAAUGAGAAGGAGCAUUUGGUUGGUUACCAAAACUAGGUAUGUACAUACACACAUAUAUACAUUGACCAUAGGCUUCCAGUCUGAGUUAAGUGACUUGCCUAAAAGCUGUUUUUUCCUAAUGGUAUUCCAAGUUGUAAUUAUAUUUAUGCAAAUGGUUCCAGCAAACCUGGAGACUUUUGUUG